rnacentral:rRNA from 1 species
GAUGAACGCUAGCGGCAGGCCUAACACAUGCAAGUCGAGGGGUAACAGAGAGAAGCUUGCUUCUUUGCUGACGACCGGCGCACGGGUGCGUAACGCGUAUACAAUCUACCUUUUGCUGGGGGAUAGCCUUUGGAAACGAAGAUUAAUACCCCAUAGUAUGUUAACUCUGCCUGGAGUUAAUAUUAAAGGUUACGGCAAAAGAUGAGUAUGCGUCCUAUUAGCUAGAUGGUAAGGUAACGGCUUACCAUGGCAACGAUAGGUAGGGGCCCUGAGAGGGGGAUCCCCCACACUGGUACUGAGACACGGACCAG